rnacentral:miRNA from 1 species
CCUUAGAGACCAACUAAGUUUGUUCUAGGUAUAAGCUUUCGUGUGCAUGCACACUUCUUCAGUUACACACUGAAGAUACACACUGAAGUGUUUAUCUGAAGAAGUGUGCACACAAAAGCUUAUACCAAAAACAAACUUAGUUGGUCUCUAAGG